UUUCGAGGCGAGGAGCGAACUUUUGUCGCGGGUUGCGGAUCUCGAGGGCCAACACCACCGAAAGUCCGGCGGUUGUAAUGGGACGGCGUUCGUCAGGGAUAAUGGUGCCCGGUCUCGAUAUGCGAAAGAAUGCGAGCCCGCGUCCGGUUGCAGCAGUCGUUCCUAAAUGUGUCUUUGAAAUGCGUCCCGAGUUGAGGUUCUCUAAAUGCGACUUUAACGACCACCACGAGGAACACGAGCGAGUAGAACGGGGAACGACGACCUGCACGGAUUCGGGCGCGGUCAAUGCCGUCUAGAUGCUCUCGCUAUUACUAUCCGGACCGCCUGGUAUUUUCGUCAUGGCCUACUAAUACACUCCGCAAAUUCUCGCCCUGCCACGGGGGCCGGUGCUCGACGAUGACGUGGUCAAGGAAAUAUGCCGAUCGCGGUUCGUGUCACUGGCCCUGAUGGCCAAUUCCUUUCCCCUUCGUUUUCUUUCGUUUCUCGUUUUACUCCUUGAAAACGAGCCAACUCUAGACGCAUCCUCGUCGCACGCACUUACGCGCGCGUUAAAAACCUUUCGCGAAUCGUCGAUCGUUCCGAGGAAAAUCAAGAUCAUCCAGGAAUUUGAGAUCGUCAUCUUAUCGGAAACGCUUUAGCUGUAUCAACGCCGAAUGUUACUUCACCCUCGAAUGCAUUCGGAUGCAAAUUCUUCUAUUAUACGUUUCUACAUCUUCUCUUUUUGAGCUGAGAAAUAUUUGUAACAGGAUGAUCUCGCGGUUGUUCUUCGGACUCUAGCUCAUCUCUGCCCCUUGAGUAGGCAAUCCUGCCAUCAAGUACUCCCUUAUCCUCUAUGUUCUUAAACUCGUCCUAAUUCUUUGUGUACUUCGUUCAUCACAUGCACAAGAUCUACGGUCCAGUUACGAAUUUCAACAAUUAAUAUUAACUAAACCUAUCGUUCUGGUCGAAAUGACCGAUUUUACAUUUCUUCUUUUAACUCUUAGACCGGAGUCGUGAUAGAUCCCAAGUAACAGGCGAAAACAAAUGUGUUAAUUUAAUUCUAGAUAAACAUUGCAUUAAAUUUUAUUCUUAGCUAGAAUCUUAACAAAUUGUUACUACGAAAUGAAAUACAAAUAUCGUGUUAUAUCGGUGAAA